AGACUGAUCUGAAUCAGCUUGCCAGGGCUUUAAAAUCCAUUUCUUUCAUUACCUAAAAGCCUCUUUCUUUUGAAAGCCUUUGAGUGAAUCAUAAAUUAACAUCUAAAAAGACUCAGCAGCAACAGAACCCGGGAAAGCUGGGGGCUUUUGCAACAACCCCACCAUAAUUGACCUUCCUAAGGACGUUGGACUGGGCAGCGGCUUCGCCGAUAGAAAAGGGUGAUGUGUGAUACAACCUCUUACCUUCAGCUAUGAUGUAACACCUGUGUGGGCUGUGUGCCCACUGUGGAAGUGGUAGUGCUGGGCCCCUGCCCCUGUCAGCUGGAGGCUGGCCCUCUCCUUCCCAUGUCAUAGCUCCUUGAACUGCAGGAGAAAAGGUUGGCAUUUUAUAGAUGUUGCCAGUCAGUGACAGUCCUGGCCUUCCGGGGAGAGAGCCGUCUAUGU